GACAGAGCUAGUGUGAGUGAGCUGCUGCUAAGAGAGUUACUGAAUAAAACAACCUUUCACCUGCCUACAGCCCCCGCAGCGUUCUUUCAGCUAUCUGCUCGUCCAUCCACUCGCUUCGGACCUCAGCAUGAGCUGGAACCUGACUCCAAACAGGACAGAGAGUAGUACCAUUGUUCAUUUUCACCACGAGGAUUUCAUCUCAAGAAAACAUUUUCUUUGCUCAUCCAUAAGAAGCAACUCUUCAUCAAUUCAAGUUUUAUGAUGAGAUUGAAGUAUUCAGACACAUCUUCAGGAUAAUUCUAGUUCUCUUGCUAUUUCUACAUCUGCAGGUAUUUCCUCUACUGAAGUUUUGGAUCCCUCAAAGUCACCCAUGAAGGUUGGAAUCAACUUCUUCCAAACUCCUGUUCGUGUUGGUAUUUGACCCCCUCUCAUGAAUCAUGAAUGUUCUUAAUGGAAUUUAGAAUGGUGGAUCCUUUUCAGAAGGUUUUCAAUUUACUUUGCCCAGGUCUAUCAGAGAAAUCACUAUCCAUGACAGCUAUAGCCUUAUUAAAUCUUAUUUCUUAAAUAAUAAGACUUGAAAGUCUGAAUUAAUCCUUGGUCAUGGGCUGCAGAAUGAAUGCUGUGUUAGCAGGCAUGAAAAUAUUAAUCUUGUUUUACAUCUCCAUCAGAGCUCUUGGGUAACUAGGUGCACUGUCAAUGAGCAGUAAUGUUUUGAAAGGAAUCUUUUUUUCUGAGCAGUAGGUCUCAACAGUGGGCUUAAAAUAUUUAGUAAACCAUGCUAUAAACAGAUAUGCUGUCAUCCAGGCUUUGUUGUUCUACUUGUAGAACACAGUCAGAGUAGAUUUAGCAUAAUUCUUAAGGGCACAAGGAUUUCUGGAAUGGUGAAUGAGCAUUGGCUUCAACUUAAUGUCACCAGCUGCAACAGCCCCUAACAAAAGAGUCAGUCUUUACUUUGAAGACAGGUAUCAACUUCUCCUCUCUACCCAUUAAAGUCCUAGAUGGCAUCUUCUUCCAUUUUAGGCUAGAUGCCUAAAAUCAACAGAAGGCUCUUUUGUCUAUAUUGAAAAUCUAUUGUUUAGUGUAGCCACCUUCUUCAAUGAUCUUAGAUUUUCUGGAUAACUUGCUGCAGCUUCUGUAUUCGCACUUGAUGUUUCACCUUACACUUUUAUGUUAUGGAGAUGUCUUCUUUCCUUAUACCUCAUGAACAACCUCUUAUUUUCAAACUUUACUUCCACAGCUUCCUCUCUGCUCUGUCUUCAUAGAAUUGGAGACAGCUAUGGCUGUGUUCUGAAUUAGGAUUUUGCUUAAGGAAAUGUUGCAGUUGGUUUGAUCUUCUAUCCAGACCAUUAAAACUUUCUCCAUAUCAGCAAUAAGGCUAUUUUGCUUUCCUAUCGUUUGUGUGUUCACUGGAGCAGCAUUUUAAAUAUCCUCCAGGCACUUUUCUUUUGCAUUCACAACUUGGCUAACUGGUGCAAGAGGCCUAGUUUUUGGACUAUCUCAGCUUUCAACAUGGCUUCCUCACUAAGCUUAAUCAUUUCUAGCUUUCAAUUUAAAAUGAGAGAUAUGUGAAUCUUCUUUUCACUCUAACACGUAAGAGACCAAUGUAGGAUUAUUAAUUGGCCUUAUUUAAAAAUUUCUGUGUCCCAGGGAAUAAAGAGGGCUGAGGAGAGGGAGAGAGACAGCAGAAGGACCAAUGAGUGUAACAGUCCACAUGCACGCACACAUGCAUGCACACACACACAAUUUAUCAUUUAAGUUCAUCCUCUCAUACGGGUGUAGUCUGUGAUGCCCCCAAACAAUUACAAUAGUAUCAUCAAAUACCACUGAACCCUGUAACAGAUAUUCUAAUAAUAAAAAAGUUUGAAAUAUUGCAAGAAUUACCAAAAUGUGACACAGAGACAUGAAAUUAGCACACAAUGUUGGAAAAAUGGCACUGUGAGACUUGCUUGAUGCUGGGUUGCCACAAACCUUCAAUUUAUUAAAAAAACACAGUAUCUGCAAAGUACAAUAAGAUGAGGGUAUACCUGUAUAUUCAUCAGAAAUAUUGGUCUUCAGCUUGUUUUGUUUUCCCUUGUUAUGUCUGUCUGGCUUUGGUAUCAGGCUAAUGCUGGCUUCAUAGAAUAAAUUGAGAAAUGUUCCCUCUUCUUUUUGUAAGAGUUUGUGAAUGAUUGUUGUUAAUUCUUCUUUAAACGUUUAGUAGAUGUAUUAGGUUGAAUAGUGUAUCCGAAUUUCAUCUAUUCAGAAUAUCAGCAUGAGACUCAAUUUAGAAAUAUGAUUUAUAUUAAUUUCCUGGGGCUGUUGUAACAAAGUACUAUAAAUUGAGUGGUUUAAACCACAAUAAUUUUUGACUGUUUUGGAGGUUAGAUGCCUAAAAUCAAGGUGUUGGCAGGGUUGGUUCUUUCUGAGGAUUGUGAGGGGUUAUCUGCUUCAUGCCUCUCCUAGGUUGUGGUAGAUUCAGACACCCUUUGGUUUGUGGAUGGUGUUUCUCUGUAUCUGCACAUCAUCUUCCUUCUCUAUGUGUCUGUGUCAUUUCCCCUUUUAAUAAGGCCAUCAGUCAUACUGGGCUAGGGUUCACCGUAAUGAUCUCAUUUUAAUUUGCUUACCUCUGUAAAGACCCGACUUCCAAAUAAUGUCACAUUCUGACGUAUUAGUGGGUAGGACUAAACAUGUCUUUCUUACCUGUGGACACAAUUCGACUCACUGCGGAGUCUAUGCAGAUCCAGUUAAGAUAAGGUCAUAAUGGAUUAAAGUGGGCUAUAAAUUCAAUGUAACUAGUGUCCUUAUAAGAGGAGGCAGAGAAGAAAGACACAAAAACAUGCAGAGAGUAAUGCCAAGUGAAGACAAUGGCAGAGAUUGGAGUGAGGCAUCUGACAAGCCAAGAAUUACCAGCAACCACAGAAUGGAGAAAAUAAGAGUCUCCUUCAGAGCCUCCACUCUCUAUCUUCUCUCCUUCCAGGUCAAUGCAUGUAUUUGAUCAUCAAGGCUGUUUUUUUUUUUUUAAUCCCUUUAUCUUUUUUCUCUGUGGUUCAGUUUGGACAUUUUUUAUUGACCUGUGCUCAAGUUCACUGAUCCUUUCUUGUGUGUGUCCAAUUUGCUGUAAAUCCCAAUGAGUUUUUGAUUUUAGAUACUUUUUUGGUUUUAGGAUUUUUUUCCCCGUUUUCAGACCUCUUCUGAAACUUCCCAUUAUUAUACUUAUUAUAUCCACAUUUCUCUGUAUACAUUUUUAAAACACUGAUACUUAUUUUGAAGAAUUUGUCUGCCAAUUCCAACAUCUAGGUCACUAGUGGGUCUGCUUUUUAUUGACUAUUUUCAAAAAUAAUCAAUAAAAUAGCCACUUUAUUAGAUGUGGUCAAUUUCCAUUUUGUAGUUGGCUCUAGAAACAGCCCUAAGGUCUUAGAAAUGGUCUUAAUUUCUACACAUGCCCUUCUUGGAUCUCACCAUAAAGUUAACAGUGUUUACCAAGCCCCUCCAAAUUUGAACUUCGACCUCUGUGUUUGUGGUGCUGGGCAACUGCUGAGACUGCUGCUUAGAUCUUUCUGCCUUCCGGUGGUUGUUUUUCUCUGACCUUCCUGGAGUUUCAUCCUGUGCACACUAUUUAAUCAGCCAACCAUCUGAGGGAAGUUUGUAUGUAGAUUUGGGGACUUCUUUUUCUGACUCCUUGCAGUCUAGGAUUUCCUUCCUCAAUUUCCAGCCUCUGUUUGCUCUCAAAUAAGAUCUGACUCCUCAGCCUAAUAUUAUUCGUCACCAUCUGCAUGAACUCUACCUUCAGUGUGCUGAGUGCAUGGUGGAUGCUCUCUGGGGAAAAGCUGAGAUCCUAUCCAGUGAACACACCUUUUUAACAGGGGUCAAAUGCCCUACAGUUUCUGUUCACUCACCUGGGGCAUCACUCUUUAAAUAAUAUUUUGUUCCAAAUUAUUAAGUUACUAAGCUUUAGUCUGAUACAAGCUAGUCUCGCACUGCCAGAAGCUAGAAUUAAUUUUUUUAAUAUUCACACAUGAUGGCUUACUUACUCUUUUUGAUAGUAAUUUCGUAUCUGAAUUUAGUUAGUGGGAGUAUGGGGGUGGGGAUUGACAGGUUUUUUUUUUUUUCCCCCCAAAGGACUUUAUUCUUUUUUUUUUUUUAGAGAGUCUCGCUCUUUUGUCCAGGCUGGAGUGCAGUGUCGCGACCUCGGCUCACUGCAACCUCCGCCUCCCAGAUUCAAGUAAUUCUCAUGCCUCAGCCCCCCAAGUAGAUAGGACUACAGGUGGGCGCCACCACACUGGAUAAUUUUUGUAUUUUAGUAGAGAUGGGAUUUCGCCAUGUUAGCCAGGCUGGUCUCAAACCCUGGCCACAAGUGAUCCACUCACCUUGGCCUCCCGAAGUGCUGGGAUUAAAGGUGUGAGCCAUGUGCCCUGCCAAGACUUGUUUUAUUCUGAUGGUUUUCAGGAAGUGGUAUAAAUCUAAGAUUCACUUUAUUUUCUUGAUCUGCAGACUUCAUGAAUGUGGCAUUAAAUCCCUGAUCUCUGUGAAAGGAGGCCUAUGAUUACAGAGGCAGCACCAUCAUCUCAUUUACUACCUGGAAAAGGGGCAAAGUCAGUCAGAUUACCCUUUGGUUUCCUUUUCAAGAGGCUGACUUCCCUAUCCACCCUUCACUUGUAGGUGUUAACACCUGUUAAUAUUCCAACUGAAGAUGCAGGGAUUUUUGGCUGGUUGUUUUUGUUGAGACAGAGUCUCACUCUUUCGCCCAGGCUGGAGUGUAGUGGUGUGGUCUCGACUCACUGCAACCUCUGCCUACAACCUCUGCCUCCCGGGUUCAAGCGAUUCUCCUGUCUCAGCCUCCUGAGUAGCUGGGAUUAUGGGCGUGCGCCACCACGCCCAGCUAAUUUUUGCAUUUUUAGUAGAAAUGGGGUUUCACCAUGUUGGCCAUGUGAAGUUCGAACUCCUGACCUCGGGUGAUCUACACACCUCGGCCUCCCAAACUGCUGGAAUUACAAGCGUGAGCCACCAUACCCAGCUGUUAUCUUUGGUUUAAUUCCCCAACUUUGUUCAGGCCCAAGGCCUAAGCUCCCGUUCCCCAAACUCUAGGCAUUAUACUUUGUUCUUAGAAGAGGAAGGGCUUUCAUAUAUAAGAGUUACAAUUAUCACCCAAGUUCAUGUUUAUCAUUUUUCAAAUCUGGCAUUUAGGAAUUUUCCAUAUUUUCUGCUGAGUUCAGCAUUCCACUUUGAAGUACAUUUGCGGUAACUUAUUCAGCCUUUGGGUGUUUUGUAGCAGUGCAGGACUUUUCAGAAAACCUUGAUGCCAGCAGGGUGAAUACCUUCAUCACUUUCCCCAGCACUUUACUGAGGCAUAAUUUACAUACAGUAAAAUGCAUAUAUCCCAAGUAUACAGCUCACUAUAUUUUAAAAUAUAUACACACAUACAUAUAUAUGUGUAUGUUACCACUACUGCAAUUGAGAUAUAGAACAUUCCAUCAUUCCAGAAAGUUCUCCUAUGCUCUUCUUCAGUCUAUACUUACCCCCAAAGAUAACCAUUCCAUAUUUGUUUUUGAGCUUUAUAAAUGGAAUAUGUCUAGCUUUUUUUGUUCGUUUUUAAGAUUUAUCUACAUUGUUUUGCCAGUAUAUCAUUAUUAUUUUUAGAGACAAGGUCUCAAUCUGUCACUUAGGCUGGAGAGCAGUGGCAUGAUCACAACUCACUGCAGCCUUGAACUCUUGGGCUCAAGGGAUCCUCCCACUUCAGCCUGCUGAGUAGGUGGGACUACAGGCGCCUACCACCAUGCCCAGCUGAUUUUUAAAUUUUUCUGUCGAGAUGGUGUCUUGCCAUCUUGCCCAGGAUAGUCUUGAACUCCUGGGCUCAAGUGAUCCUGCCUUGGCCUCCCAAAUUGUUAGGAUCACAGGUGUUAGCUAUUAAGCCCAGCCCAUUCUUUCAAUUGCAGACUAGUAUCCAAUGUAUAAACAUACCAUUACUUGAUUAUCUAUUAGCUUGUUGGUGGAUAUUUGGGUAGUUUUCAGAUUGGGAAUAUUAUAAAUAAAAUUGCUAUUCUUGUACAAGUCUUAUUGUAAAAACAUACCCUCAUUUAUCUUGGGUAGAUCUUUAGAAGUGGAGUCACUAAGUCACAGGGUAGGCAUUAUGUUUAUCUUUAUAAGCAACCGGCAAACUGUUUCCUGAGGUGAUUAAACCAUCUUGGAUUUCUAUCAGUUCCACAUUCUCACCAUUUGGCGGGUAUGCAGUGGUAUUUCCUUGUGGUUUCAUUCUACAUUCCCUGAUGGCUGAUGUUUGAGUGCCAUUUCCUAUGCUACUCCUGCAUCUGGAGAGCUUCUGUGAAGUAUGUAUUCAACUCACUCAUUGUUAAACUGGGUUGCUGUUACAAUGGUUUUAAAAUGUUCUUUGCUUUCCUUUGGUUCCGUGUAUUGUGAUUAUUUUCUCUUAGGCCGUGGCUUGCCUUUUCACUUUAAAAGUAUCUUUUUGAUGAGAAGUAUCUAAUUUUGAUGAAAUCUGUCAGUUUUUUUGUUUAACCUUCCUGAGAUGUCUUCGCCUAAGAUAUCCUUGUCUACCCCAAUGUCAUGAAGAUAGUCGGUUUCCUUUUACAAGAUUUAUUGUUUUGCCAUUCACAUUUAGUUCUAUAAUCCAUUUUGAAUAAACUGUGCAUGGUAUGAAGAAGGCAUUAUUAACAUUGCUUUUUCCCAGACAUCCAGUUACUUCAACUCCAACUGAAAAAUCUUCCCUUUUUCUAUUGAAUAGCUUGUUUUUGUUGAAAAGCCAAUAACCAUAUACAUGUGGGUCUAUUUCUGGACAUGUCUAUUUCUAUUUGUUGUUUAUCCUAACUCUAGUACCAUACUCUCUUAACUGUUGUAGCUUUAGAGCAAGUCUUGACAUUGGGUAGUACAAGUGCUCCAAUUUUAUUUUUCUUCUUCAAAAUUAUCUUGGCUACUUAGAAUCUGUUGCAUUUUCAUAUAUGUAUUUGCCAAUUUCUACAAGAUGGCCUUGUGGGAUUUUGAUCUCAUUGAAUCUAGAUAACAAUUUGUGGGGAACUGACAUCUUACCAUUAUGCAGUCUUUCAAUCCAUGAGCAUAGAAUAGCCAUUUAUUUUGGUGCUCUAUAAUUCUUCCCAGCACUGUUUUGUAGUUUUCAGAGUAGAGGUCUUGUUGUUAACUUUCUUCCUACUUAGAAGUUUGACUUAUUUGAUGCUAUUACAAAUGGCAUAUUUUAACGUUAUAUUUUCAAGUGUUUGUUGCUAGGAUAUAGAUACACAACUGAAUUUCAUAUAUUUGCCUCAUAUUCUGCAAAAUUAUCAGUCCUGGUAGAUUAUCAAGCAAAUGCUUGGCAAUCUUCAGGAAAUCAGAGAAUGGAGAAAAUGUCAUCUAAUUAGAAACAGAUCUAAUUUUCCAAAUGGCUUAAAAAGUGACUCAUUCUUUGUAUACAACCCCUCACAGUUAUGACCUCAGAAACACUACCUUCUAAGUUUCUUUUUUCUUUGAAGAACAGGUAACUAUAGAGUUAAAUUUGCUCUUGGUAUACUUCUUGGAAGAUGAGAAGAGCAUCAAAUCCUUACAAAGAGGAACCUCUGUUUCUCAGCUAAAUGUAGAAUGGGAGCAAUGAGGACAUGGCCUGCACGAUGUCCUCCAUCUGCAGAAUGGAUGAAUAUUCCCAAUGUUCAAUGGCAGCACUAUUUCUCAAGAAUGCCAAUGAAGAUAGAUAUAUUAAAAUAGACCUUGACUGGGGUGGGGUGAAUAGAUUUGUGAGAUUCAAAUUAUCCUUAAUUGUCACAUUUAUGAAUUCUUCACUGGUUAAAUAAUAAUCCCACUUUUUCAUCCUUCAUUUUUUCUUUUUUUUUAAGAUACAUGGUUUCUUCUCUGUUGCCCAGGCUGGAGUGCAGUGGCACCAUCAUAGCUCACUGCAACCUCAAACUCCUGCCCUCAAGUGGUCCUAUCGUCUCACCUUCCCAAAAUGCUAAAAUUACAGACCCAGCAACUCUUCAACCCCCCUUUGGAAGUAGCAACUUAGCUGUACCUGACUGCCACUUUAAAACUACUAUUUUUGACAUUAGGAAUUGAAAAUAAUUGUGAAUGCACCCAUUCUUGGAAAACCAGGCAAGAGGUUUCCCUGGACCCUUGAAGCAUGAGAAGAGAUCUAUGAAAGGCUAAAUUACUGUUGCUAGCAAAGGAAGGCUCACAUGGGUGAAGCUGUGAUCAGAAGCAUAAGAUCCCUGGGCUGCACUAUGGAUCAGGGUCAACAAAGGUACAGCCUUGUAUUUCUAAUGCAAAACAACGCUAACCUGGAGAAAUUAUAUAGAAGAAAUUCUUGAAUUCAUCCAUCCACACUUCUGCAAGUCGUCUGUUAUUUUUAUUGAUAAUCUGCCCUGUGCCUCCUGGAAACGUGUAAGGUGUAGCUUUCCGAAACACAUGUCCAACAUGUGAGCAUGUAACAAUUUCCAAAGUUCCUCCACACUGCCAAAUCUGAAAACAGCAGAGAUGACCAUGUAACAUGUAGCUGAGUAAUCAGGAAAUGUUCACCUUAGUUUUCCCAUAGUAUUUUUCUUUUCAAUUAAAUAGGGGUUUGGCUUUUGUUUAAACUUAAAUGGAACAUAUUGUAGUUACUGGUAAAAAGCUUCCAAAGUACCUCCAUACUACCAAAUCUGAAAAUAACAGCAAAGACCAUAUAUGACAUUGAUAGUUUUUAAAAAAGUAUUGACAUCUAUUGGGUUCCACAGUUGGAAUUUCGCAAAAUCAGGGGCACAUGAUGGGCUCCGGCUGUAUGGUUAGGUUACAAAGCCAGUGCUUCCUCAAGAGAAACAUUUCUCUAAUUUGGGUUCUGAUCAAACCAAAAGUUGAAGAUUAAAAUAAAGAAAACAUAGGUUAAAGGCUAAAUACAGAAAAGAUAUGGGAUCUAGAGCAGUAUUUUUCUAACUGCAGGCCAUUAUACCUAAGAGAAUCAUAAAUUCAAAUUGAUGAAUUGCAACCUGUACUUGUUAACAAGGACAUACUGUUUCAUAAAAUGUUUAAAUUUUAUGUUUUGUGUGUGCAGAAUGUAUAAUGUAUUUAUUAAUGUGGCUCAUGGUUAAAAACAACCACCAAACAAAACCUGACCAUGGAGUAACCAGCCAGAUGCUCAUCUGUUCACCCCUCUCCAAACCUGCGUCACGGCUUGUACAUGAAACAGAACCUAGGAAUCUCAACUAGAUCCAUUGUAAGUUCUUCAGUGAGACAGUAAAAGCAUGUUUUGUUGUCUUUGUUAGAACAAUAAAAACAAAAAAAGGGGCAGAAGAAAGAUGAUCAAGUAUGGGCUUACAUCCUUAAUUUAAUGAAAUCCUUCUGUUUCUUUCAAAAUACAUUCCCCCCACCAAGUUAAAAAUCUCAUAACUCUUUAUAAUUAAAAUAACAUUUUGGAAAGUU